UACGGGGGGGGCAAGCGUUGUUCGGAAUUACUGGGCGUAAAGGGCUCGUAGGCGGCCAACUAAGUCCGACGUGAAAUCCCCAGGCUUAACCUGGGAACUGCGUCGGAUACUGGAUGGCUUGAAUUCGGGAGAGGGAUGCAGAAUUCCAGGUGUAGCGGUGAAAUGCGUAGAUAUCUGGAGGAACACCGGUGGCGAAGGCGGCGUUCUGGACUGCUACUGACACUGAGGAACGAAAGCCAGGGGAGCAAACGGG
rnacentral:rRNA from 1 species